rnacentral:rRNA from 1 species
AGAGUUUGAUCAUGGCUCAGAUUGAACGCUGGCGGCAGGCCUAACACAUGCAAGUCGAGCGGCAGCACGGGUACUUGUACCUGGUGGCGAGCGGCGGACGGGUGAGUAAUGCCUAGGAAUCUGCCUGGUAGUGGGGGGAUAACGCUCGGAAACGGACGCUAAUACCGCAUACGUCCUACGGGAGAAAGCAGGGGACCUUCGGGCCUUGCGCUAUCAGAUGAGCCUAGGUCGGAUUAGCUAGUUGGUGAGGUAAUGGCUCACCAAGGCGACGAUCCGUAACUGGUCUGAGAGGAUGAUCAGUCACACUGGAACUGAGACACGGUCCAGACUCCUACGGGAGGCAGCAGUGGGGAAUAUUGGACAAUGGGCGAAAGCCUGAUCCAGCCAUGCCGCGUGUGUGAAGAAGGUCUUCGGAUUGUAAAGCACUUUAAGUUGGGAGGAAGGGCAUUAACCUAAUACGUUGGUGUCUUGACGUUACCGACAGAAUAAGCACCGGCUAACUCUGUGCCAGCAGCCGCGGUAAUACAGAGGGUGCAAGCGUUAAUCGGAAUUACUGGGCGUAAAGCGCGCGUAGGUGGUUUGUUAAGUUGGAUGUGAAAUCCCCGGGCUCAACCUGGGAACUGCAUUCAAAACUGACAAGCUAGAGUAUGGUAGAGGGUGGUGGAAUUUCCUGUGUAGCGGUGAAAUGCGUAGAUAUAGGAAGGAACACCAGUGGCGAAGGCGACCACCUGGACUGAUACUGACACUGAGGUGCGAAAGCGUGGGGAGCAAACAGGAUUAGAUACCCUAGUAGUCC